GUUCCCAUUAAUUUAUUCCUGAUACUACCUGGAGUGAAACAGUUAAGUUACCACUGUUCCGGAUUCUGAAAACCCCAGAGAAACAUAAUUUCCAGUGUUAGCAUCAAACAUCCUAAAGCAAUAUAAAUCUUAAUUACUGUACAGUGGAAGUCGUAGCAACACAUGCAUGAGAUACUUUACAAGGAAGAAAGAUGUCCCAAUAUAAACUUAAAGAAUAUCAGCAAUUUCUUUUCUGCAUUUAACAAGAUUUAAAUCUGUCUAAUGGAGAGUAAUCCCCAAGAAGCAAUAUAACAUUGACUUUUAGAAGAACUGAGCCCUUAUGUGCUGGGUGCUGCAUGGAUGUGAAGUUCCUGAGCCAACAAAUACACAAGCUACAUUUCUCACAAGACACAAUAUAUGACAAAAAUCAACUGAUGGAAAAGAAGAGGGAGAGGCAAAUAAGAUCUACAGGAGAAGCAGUGGUUCUCUACCUCCUCAUGUCUAAAGAAAUUAUUGCUUAGUUCUAAAGAACUUGUAAACUAAUUCUCCCUUUCCUAAGCAAGUUUAUAAA